rnacentral:rRNA from 1 species
GAUAAACGCUGGCGGCGUGCUUAACACAUGCAAGUCGAACGAAGGCUUUCUUUCGGGUGUGACGGAGUGGCGGGCGGGGGAGUGACACGUGUGUAACCGUCCCUGUUCAGGGGGACAACAGCUGCAAAAGGCUACCAAUAACGCAUAAGCCCCUACCACGGCAUGGUGCAGAGGGAAAAGGAGCAAUCCGGUACAGGAUGGACCAGCGUCUUAUUAGGCAGUUGGCAGGGUGACGGCCUACCAAAGCGACCAGCAGUAGACGAUCUGAGAGGCUGUACGGCCACAUCUGGAGUGAGCCGCAGUCCAGAAUCCUACGGGAUGCAGCAGUGGGGAAUAUUGCACACUGGAGUAAACUCUGAUGCAGCGACGGCGGGUGAGUAAAGAAGUAUUUCGGUAUGUAAAGCUCUAUAAGCAGGAGAGAAAAUGACGGUACCUGCAGAAGAAGCACCGGCUAACUACGUG